GCCCGGGUGUCGGAAUUGGAUAACGAGUUCGUCUCCUAAACGAAAGAUUCCGGGUUCGAGUCCCGGCUCGGGUG